ensembl:lncRNA
UGCUUCGGAGGACGGUAAACCUCGCCUGUUUCAACCCGCUGUGUGAAUCCAGAGGGAAAAGUCCGUGUUGAAACUGCAGAAAUCAUAUCAGUGUGCAAUAUCAAAUCAAGACAAACUAAUGAAACAGCAUGUAGUCAGCGCAACACCUGGGUUUAAGUGUUGUCUGUCUCGCAGGUCCUGCUUGCUACAUUGAGAGGCUAUAUCAUCAUCAUCCUGGAAGCAGUCCACAGCAUUCGAAGAGCAAGUUUUGUUUUUAAAAACAAAUAAGGUACAUAUAAAAAUAAGGGCAAAUUAAAUACUUUGUUUUAGGAAAAUAGGUCUAACAGAUUUUUUUUCUAAAUCUUUGUGGAUGUGUUAUGUGCUGUACCUUACAUGUUCAAUACACAGCUUGGUCGAGACCUUUUUAUAAUUGAGCCAAGUGCAGUCUCCAUGCAAUACGUGAGCUCAUCUUGGAGGUUAUGUAGCAAGAAAACUAAAAGGACUAACUCAUUUUCAUCAUGCAGUUCAAUCUAGAAACAUUUACACGGAGGAGGAGCAGGUUGUCUGUGCGUCGGGCUGAUGUCAUAUCGUAAAGGCUAGAGCAGGCAAAAAGAGCUAAGGCUGUCGAAGGCUGAGCUGUGUCCUCAGCCUAAAACACAAGAAAUAAAAAAUCAUCUUUUUGUGUAGUUUUCUGAUGAUGUUUUGUUAGUAACUCAGGAAAUUGUACGUUUUGAAAGGAUAAUGGAAGACCUAAAGCAUGCAACAGAAUGGAACUUGAAGACUCCCACCAGCUGUGAAGGUGAUUCAGGGUGUUGCUUCCUGUCCAGCAGUUUUACAGUUAGAUGUUUAAUGUUGAGGCAGGAGACCGGACUUUCUCUGUGACCAAAUGACAAAUACAUGGUUUUUUUUACGAUAACAUGACAAAAUAGCAAGGUGUAAAUGGAAAGACCCAUAGAUGACAUCGAUACGGGCACUCUGAAGUGAAUUUGGGAUGUUUAAAUCAAGCCAGGUAGAGAUUUUGCGCGACCAAAUAGCUGUAUAGCCAUGGCAACUUUUGAUAUGUGAUGAAUUUUUAGUUCACUAAAAGUUGUCUCAUGAUUGGAAGUAACUUAACAAGGUGUGAAAGUUCAAUAACGACCAGAAAACCAGAUAAAGUCUCACUCAUUCAUCACAGAGGGUCGCUACAGUAUGUUGACCUGUUUUUACAACUUGACCCAUGUUGGUUGGUGUUUCGCCCUGUUCAGUGUUUUAUUAUAGUUAAUUUCACUUGCCAAUGAAUCCACAGCAUCUUUUUAUCUUCGGUCAGGUUUUGUAAAAUUACUUCCACAGCGUAUUUAACCCUAGAAGUAAACACAGAUCAGUGUAUUUCCUGUAUUGGCUCGUCAUUAUUGCUCUCAAAGACUGACAGAAGUUGUCGCUGUGCUAUGGGAUAUCAUUUUUUACACUGUCCAGUAUUUCAAGCUGAAUAAGAAGUGGGUUUUCAUCUGUCAUGGCAAUGUGGUGUACAGUAGGCACGCUAAAUAUACAGACAGGUCUCUUGGUAAGUUUGUGGCUGCGUCAAUUUGUUUGCUGAUAAAGUAGGAGCUUUAAAGCUGUGGAGUGAAAUAGAGAAAUGCUUCGGAAAGAGUUUCAAGUAGCUUUGUUCCCCCAUGAAGAGGGGAGUAGUAGAAAAUGAGACUUGAUAGCUACAGUAGUCUGUGAGCAUGCAAAGAUCACACCUGAUCGCCUGGUGAGGAACGUGCAACAAACAAAGAAAACAUGAGAACCCAAAUCAUGCAUAUUUUUUAGAAAAAGCACAUUAGGUGCCUCGUGUUGCUGGCAGUGUUCUAUUGGAAGUAUGUACACAGUAAAUGAUGACUUUACAUAUAUGUUAAUAAUAUAGUUUAUAAAUACCUCUGUAUAAAUGAUUUUAUACAUCAAUAUCAGAGCGGAGGGACGGUUAGUGCUGGGAGGUUUUCUCAAAAGGAAUGGAAGAAAGUCUACAGUUUUUAUCCUUUGCAUAAUCAGUCUCUUUCGUAGACCCUGAGUCAAGCUGGAGAGGAGACCUUCAGUCAUCGUCGAAGGGUUUUUGGGUAGGAAGGGGCCUACUUUCCUGGAAGCCCCGGGUCAGACACUGGCCUGUGGAGUCCCAACAUUCCUGAGCUGCUGGGGACAUCGGGGAGAGAAGCUUGCCGGCCUGAUGGGAACCUUGGCGGCAGCUGUUGGUGCUGCUGCUCUGCCGAGUCCACGGCAUUCAGUGUUUGUCUCUGCUCGGCCUCGCUUCCAGUAAAGUUCCCAUCUGGAAGAGUCUCUGUGUGGAGGAGGACUGGGGAGGGUUCUUUGGAUUUGUUGGGGCCCGUCUCUGAAGCAGGACUCUGAGGGCGACAGAACACAGUUAUUCUGCUGUGAUUUUACUGGUCCGGCCCACUGGAGAUCAAACUGGACUGAAUGUGGAACCUGAACUAAGAUGAGUUU